CCCUUUUUUUACCAUCAACAUCGCCUCUUGCAAUUAAGUAUAAGAGGUCCUGCCUGCCCAGUGACAUUAAGUUUAACGGCCGCGGUAUUAUGACCGUGCAAAGGGUAGCGUAAUCACUUGUCUUUUAAAUAAAGACCAGUAUGAAUGGCAAGACGAAAGUUCAACUGUCUCCCUAAAUUAAUCAGUGAAAUUGAUUUCUCCGUGCAGAAGCGGAGAUAAAAUUAUAAGACGAGAAGACCCUAUGGAGCUUUAAACAUAUAAUCAAUUGUAUUCCAUAAAAUCCGAAAGAUAAAAUAUAAAAUAAAACAAUAUGAUUAAAAUUUUAGGUUGGGGCGACCACGGAGAAAAACAAAACCUCCGAGAUGAAAAGAAUAUCUUAAUUUUAAGAACCACAAUUCCAAAAAAUAAAAUAUUUAACAUAAUUGAUCCAAUAUUUUGAUCAACGAACCAAGUUACCCUAGGGAUAACAGCGCAAUCCUCUCCAAGAGUCCCUAUCGACGAGUGGGUUUACGACCUCGAUGUUGGAUCAGGACACCCCGAUGGUGCAGCCGCUAUUAAAGGUUCGUUUGUUCAACGAUUAAAGUCCUACGUGAUCUGAGUUCAGACCGGAGUAAACCAGGUCAGUUUUUAUCUAUAAAAAAUUUUUUCUAGUACAAAAGGGCCGAAAAAAUAGGCC
rnacentral:rRNA from 1 species